UGAGUAGUCACAGCAACAGUCUCAGCCAGUCAGAGUCCACCCUUCCUCCACCUAGUCUGAUGAGACAAGAAGGGACCCUAAGUUUAAGCAGUCUGGCUUUAGCCAGAGAUGAAGAGAGAAAACCAGCUGCAGUCUCCUGCUCUCGUACCUCAUGCGAGCCCACCAAAUGUUAUCCACGUGUGCUGAACUUCUUACACAUAGAUCCCCCCACCCAGGGUAAAGUCAAGUCACCUCAGUCAAGACUUUGGGGACAAUCGCAUACAUCUGACGGGACCCAUAGCGAAGAUUAGAUAAAGGUGUUAAUAUAUCCCCUGGCCCACAUCUAUCCCUCUUGUCCUCCCUGGUUGUAUGCACAUCAAAAGGAACGCCGUCCAUAAAGAAUCUAGCUUGUGUCUGUCAUCUCCUGUCAAGGGUCACCAGUCAGUGUAAAAUCCCGAGUGAUGGUCUCCACAAGUACUGCAAGUAUGUUUAUUGGACCAGUGGAACUCUGUCUCCAAAAACGGAACGGUUAUCUCUGUAUUGAGUCUGUAUGAAAUUUUGUCAGUAAACUCUAUAAGUGGAUAUCCAAAAUCUCUGCAUUUGAGGAGUUCAUUUUCCUGACGCUUGGAUAUAAUUGACCACUUCCUUUGGAGUUGUGGUAAGUGAACUUAAUCUGCAGGACUAUUACCACCAACAUCUUCAAACACCAGUUUAUACCACUUUCCUGGAAUCACAAACUUUCCAUCAGCCCGCCAAGUAUCUAUGUCACAGUAAUCCACUCCAUACGUCACCCUCUGCUUACCACAAUAACACAGCACUCAGAGAGAAGGUGGUCCAAAUGAGAGAGUCUGAGGGGAAGGACCAGUAAAAGGUCAGUAGUCUGGUUGGAAGUCUCUAUAGAUGAGGUCAGACCAGUAUGUGACUGAAGUAUCACCUCUGCAUUCUAAAGCAGCCAUAAGAAGAUCCAUGGGAGGCGUGCAAGUCUGCCUAUCCAUAUGAAGAGAGGAGAAGGCAAAGGAGAAUAACAGCAGACAGCUUGGGAUGAUGACAACUUCUGCUAAGAAUCCUGAACCAUUUUAGGAUUGACACUUGUUCCUAGAAGCAUGGCUCGGAUGUCAUUGUGGAGAUAGAAAAAAGCAAGGCAGGUGAAUCAGCUCACUCCAGAUGCCGUCUCUGAGGCGUGGACCGGUGUGGACCCCACCGAAACUAAUAGCAAAACAAAAAGGAGAAUGUCCAGCCUUCCAGCUCGUGGAUGCGAUGCUUGACUUUAUUCACAGGAUGGCUACAUAAAAACAAAGUAAAGUCGAUGAAAAACAGGAAACAGGAAUCAAACAUCCAGAACUGCAGAUCACAGAUGGACGGGUCGGCAGACAUCAAAGAUGAGAACAUUGUUGAAAUGAAGGAAGAAUGGAGCAGGAACUUUAUCAUGAUGAAGUGAAGAAGGUUCAUCUUGAAAGAGAUUAGACUUGGAAGCCAGAAGUCAUCAAAUCUAAUAUUCUAGAAAAAGAGGACAAAGAAUUAAGGGUAGUGUAUUGGGAGGGAUAUUAUUCGCCUCCUGUCGUUUAUAAAAUCUAUAUUUUCCAUCACAGAGGUUAGGAAAGUCUUAAAUUUUAUGUCCGAAUGCUCAUAAUAUGCUAGUUUAAAGCUUAAACAUUCAUAUACCUCUAAUAAACAGUUAAUAAGUACAGUUAUAAUACAGACAUUGAAGCAUGACGUUCGGGUCUGAAAUAGAAGGUUUUAAAGGUGGAUUCUGACAACCAGUCAGCAGCUUUUAGAAUGUCAGAAAGGGAGCCACCCAAUAAAGCAGUCUUAGUAGACAUAGCACCCCUGACGGAAUGAGCACCGAAGAGGGAUAUAUCAAUGUCGGCAAGAGCCAUUGUAGAUCUAACCCAUCUUGCCAAAGGGGAAGAGGAAACCGGAAGAUGGAGGUUUGUGAAAGGAGAUGAGGAGUUGAGAAGAUCUAGGAGAUCUUAGGGAUGAAGUUUUGAGUUCAUAAGUUCGUAAGCAGGAAACGACACAUAAAUCUGGUCGGUUAAUAAAAUAUGGAUAAAAAACUGAUUGAAGACCAAUUUUUGUAUGCCUACAAUUUUCAAAACGGACACCAUGAGGGGAGAAAGAUCUGUGAAAUAAAUCCAAUGAGUGGACAUCGGAAACCCUUUUUAUGGAGAUUAAACAUAAUAACAUGGUUUAAAGGAUAGAAAUUUGAGUGAUAAAGAGUCGUUCUCAGACCAAGAAGAUAGAAUGGCAAGUACUAAAGAUACGUCCCAGGUGGAACAAUAUUUGGGGAGAGGAGGUCUUUUGAAGCAAAUAGCUUGAAGUAAUUUGCAUAUUAAUGGAU